GACGAACGCUGGCGGCGUGGAUUAGGCAUGCAAGUCGAACGGUAUCAUCCUUUCGGGGGUGAGAGAGUGGCGAACUGGUGAGUAACACGUAGGUUAUCUACCCUCAAGACGGGGACAACCCAGGGAAACCUGGGCUAAUACCGGAUGUGAGCAACUUUUAGUUGUUUGAAAGGUGGCGUAAGCUGUCGCUUGGGGAUGAGCCUGCGUCCUAUUAGUUAGUUGGUGAGGUAACGGCUCACCUAGGCAAUGAUAGGUAGGCGGCCUUAACGGGUGGUCGCCCACACUGGGAUUGAGAUACGGCCCAGACUCCUACGGGAGGCAGCAGUCGAGAAUAGUCUACAAUGGUCGGAAGACUGAUAGUGCGACGCCGCGUGAACGAUGAAUCCCUUCGGGGUGUAAAGUUCUUUUAUAUGUGAGCAGUGCUUCUUAUAUUAACAGUAUGGGGAGAGAGAUAUUAGCAUAUGAAUAAGCAACGGCUAACUCCGUG
rnacentral:rRNA from 1 species